rnacentral:rRNA from 1 species
UCUAGAGUUUGAUCAUGGCUCAGGAUGAACGCUAGCGGGAGGCCUAACACAUGCAAGCCGAGCGGUAGAAGAUCUUCGGAUCUUUGAGAGCGGCGUACGGGUGCGGAACACGUGUGCAACCUGCCUUUAUCAGGGGGAUAGCCUUUCGAAAGGAAGAUUAAUACCCCAUAAUAUAAUGAGUGGCAUCACUUAUUAUUGAAAACUCCGGUGGAUAGAGAUGGGCACGCGCAAGAUUAGAUAGUUGGUAGGGUAACGGCCUACCAAGUCAGUGAUCUUUAGGGGGCCUGAGAGGGUGAUCCCCCACACUGGUACUGAGACACGGACCAGACUCCUACGGGAGGCAGCAGUGAGGAAUAUUGGACAAUGGGUGAGAGCCUGAUCCAGCCAUCCCGCGUGAAGGACGACGGCCCUAUGGGUUGUAAACUUCUUUUGUAUAGGGAUAAACCUUUCCACGUGUGGAAAGCUGAAGGUACUAUACGAAUAAGCACCGGCUAACUCCGUGCCAGCAGCCGCGGUAAUACGGAGGGUGCAAGCGUUAUCCGGAUUUAUUGGGUUUAAAGGGUCCGUAGGCGGAUCUGUAAGUCAGUGGUGAAAUCUCAUAGCUUAACUAUGAAACUGCCAUUGAUACUGCAGGUCUUGAGUAAAGUAGAAGUGGCUGGAAUAAGUAGUGUAGCGGUGAAAUGCAUAGAUAUUACUUAGAACACCAAUUGCGAAGGCAGGUCACUAUGUUUUAACUGACGCUGAUGGACGAAAGCGUGGGGAGCGAACAGGAUUAGAUACCCUGGUAGUCCACGCCGUAAACGAUGCUAACUCGUUUUUGGGUUUUCGGAUUCAGAGACUAAGCGAAAGUGAUAAGUUAGCCACCUGGGGAGUACGUUCGCAAGAAUGAAACUCAAAGGAAUUGACGGGGGCCCGUACAAGCGGUGGAUUAUGUGGUUUAAUUCGAUGAUACGCGAGGAACCUUACCAAGGCUUAAAUGGGAAUUGACAGGUUUAGAAAUAGACUUUUCUUCGGACAAUUUUCAAGGUGCUGCAUGGUUGUCGUCAGCUCGUGCCGUGAGGUGUUAGGUUAAGUCCUGCAACGAGCGCAACCCCUGUCACUAGUUGCCAUCAUUCAGUUGGGGACUCUAGUGAGACUGCCUACGCAAGUAGAGAGGAAGGUGGGGAUGACGUCAAAUCAUCACGGCCCUUACGCCUUGGGCCACACACGUAAUACAAUGGCCGGUACAGAGGGCAGCUACCUAGCGAUAGGAUGCGAAUCUCGAAAGCCGGUCUCAGUUCGGAUUGGAGUCUGCAACUCGACUCUAUGAAGCUGGAAUCGCUAGUAAUCGCGCAUCAGCCAUGGCGCGGUGAAUACGUUCCCGGGCCUUGUACACACCGCCCGUCACAC